UUAUGACAACAAUCCAUUUUGCUCUAUCUUGUGAGAGAUUAUAGCAUCUAAUGUGUCAAAUUUUAUUGACAUACAUUGAUUCAAUUAUGCAUAAUAUUGUCUACAUUGUUGCGGUCCCCUCACCAACAUUCUCUGUUUUCUUUCUUUGUUGCCAUAUAGUCCUCUAGAGAUUAUCUGAAUUCUUUGUAUGUAGGUCAUGAAUAGAGAGGAUUAAAUACCAAAUGGGAUUGGCACAUACUGUUGGUGUUUGGCUCCACGGUCUUGGAUUCCAAGGUCUCAAGUGAACAUGAUGAGAUCCAAAGUCAUUUGGCAAUUGUCCUUCAUAAAUAGUUGAGUCCAUGCAUUUAAUGCUCGGGAUUCGAGAUUUGAUAUGGACUUGUUUGGUAAUUUGGAGGGCAGAUGGUAGC